GCCAGUUUCCCCCAGACCUCAGAGGAAGGGGUUGUUGUAGAGCCAGUUUCCCCCAGGCCUCAGAGGAAGGGGUUGUUGUAGAGCCAGUUUCCCCCAGGCCUCAGAGGAAGGGGUUGUUGUAGAGCCAGUUUCCCCCAGGCCUGGGAGGAAGGGGUUGUUGUAGAGCCAGUUUCCCCCAGGCCUCAGAGGAAGGGGUUGUUGUAGAGCCAGUUUCCCCCAGGCCUCAGAGGAAGGGGUUGUUGUAGAGCCAGUUUCCCCCAGGCCUCAGAGGAAGGGGUUGUUGUAGAGCCAGUUUCCCUCAGGUCUCAGAGGAAGGGGUUAUUGUAGAGCCAGUUUCCCCCAGGCCUCAGAGGAAGGGGUUGUUGUAGAGCCAGUUUCCCCCAGGCCUCAGAGGAAGGGGUUGUAGAGCCAGUUUCCCCCAGGCCUCAGAGGAAGGGGGGGUUGUAGAGCCAGUUUCCCCCAGGUCUCAGAGGAAGGGGUUGUAGAGCCAGUUUCCCCCAGGCCUCAGAGGAAGGGGUUGUUGUAGAGCCAGUUUCCCUCAGGUCUCAGAGGAAGGGGUUGUGGCUGUGUGUGU